UGGGGAAUAUUGGACAAUGGGCGAAAGCCUGAUCCAGCCAUGCCGCGUGUGUGAAGAAGGUCUUCGGAUUGUAAAGCACUUUAAGUUGGGAGGAAGGGCAUUAACCUAAUACGUUAGUGUUUUGACGUUACCGACAGAAUAAGCACCGGCUAACUCUGUGCCAGCAGCCGCGGUAGUACAGAGGGUGCAAGCGUUAAUCGGAAUUACUGGGCGUAAAGCGCGCGUAGGUGGUUUGUUAAGUUGGAUGUGAAAUCCCCGGGCUCAACCUGGGAACUGCAUUCAAAACUGACUGACUAGAGUAUGGUAGAGGGUGGUGGAAUUUCCUGUGUAGCGGUGAAAUGCGUAGAUAUAGGAAGGAACACCAGUGGCGAAGGCGACCACCUGGACUAAUACUGACACUGAGGUGCGAAAGCGUGGGGAGCAAACA
rnacentral:rRNA from 1 species